UACGGAGGGGCCUAGCGUUGUUCGGAAUUACUGGGCGUAAAGCGCACGUAGGCGGAUUUGUAAGUCAGGGGUGAAAUCCCGAGGCUCAACCUCGGAACUGCCUUUGAUACUGCAAGUCUCGAGUCCGGAAGAGGUGAGUGGAAUUCCUAGUGUAGAGGUGAAAUUCGUAGAUAUUAGGAAGAACACCAGUGGCGAAGGCGGCUCACUGGUCCGGUACUGACGCUGAGGUGCGAAAGCGUGGGGAGCAAACAGG
rnacentral:rRNA from 1 species